UCCCAGUUCGGAUUGUAGUCUGCAACCCGACUACAUGAAGCUGGAAUCGCUAGUAAUCGCGCAUCAGCCAUGGCGCGGUGAAUACGUUCCCGGGCCUUGUACACACCGCCCGUCAAGCCAUGGGAGCCGGGGGCGCCUGAAGUCCGGGACCGCGAGGACCGGCCUAGGGCGAAACUGGUAACUGGGGCUAAGUCGUAACAAGGUAUC
rnacentral:rRNA from 1 species